UCGAAACCCAUCCUCCUCUCUUUAAGUCUCCCUUGAUUCUCUCUCUCUUCAAAGCCAAGCCAGCAUCAAUGGCUAUUGAUCUCGUUGGGUUCUCAAGGAUGGACGAUCGGACGGCCAUGGAAGAAGCAGCCUCCGCCGGCUUGCAGAGCAUGGACCACCUGAUCCGCGUCCUAUCGAAUCAAAACCCAUCCCAAACCCAAACCCAAACCCCCCUCGACUGCCGAGAAAUCACUGACUUAACCGUCUCCAAGUUUAAGCAGCUCAUCUCCGUCUUGAACCGGACCGGUCACGCUCGGUUCCGCCGCGGACCGGCCAAUCAAUCCUCCACCCCGGUACAACCGGUCCAACCCAAGCCUCAGACAACUUCGAGUGCUUUUUCUGUCCCUAAGUCCAACAACGACGACUCUCUCACUCUAUCCCCGCCAAUCUCCACGACGUCGUCGUUUUUGUCCUCCAUCACAAUCGGAGACGGCAGCGUUUCGAACGGUAAAGCCAUCUCGUCAAUUCUCGCGCCACCGGCGCCGGCCUUCUCAGCCGGGGAACCUCCCCUCUCCCCCUCUCCCCCGCAGCCGCUGCCAUUGCUCUAAAAGAAGGAAGUCCAAGGUUAGGAGGACGAUUAGAGUGCCGGCGAUUAGUUCAAAAAUCGCCGAUAUACCUUCGGAUGAAUUCUCCUGGAGAAAGUAUGGUCAAAAGCCGAUCAAGGGCUCGCCUUACCCGAGAGGGUAUUAUAAGUGUAGCAGCGUGAGAGGGUGUCCAGCGAGGAAACACGUGGAGAGAGCACAAGACGACCCCACUAUGCUCGUCGUUACUUACGAAGGCGAGCACCGUCACCCUCACCCUUCCAUCACAGCCGGUUCUGUGGGCCUUGUUUUCCAGUGAACCUGAAAUCCGGUCCACAUGUUGCGUCCAUCAUGACUGUUGAAAGCGCCCCGUGUCAAAGUAGCUGUGGCACUGCAAGGGAUGUUAGUGUGCCGGAGCAGAAAGUCAAAGGGAAAAAAUAUCCAAUGUCAAAAUCAAAUAUACGGUGUAAUGGGAAUGGGAGUGGUUCGAUGUAAAUUAUGAAAGAAAGAAGGGUGAAAGUGAAAGUGAAAGAAGGAAAUGGAAUAUAAUUUUGUUGGUACUUUUGAAUAUUAGAUAUAUUGAAUUUAUUUAUUCAAUUUAAUCAAAUCUUUUGA